UACGUAGGUCCCGAGCGUUGUCCGGAUUUAUUGGGCGUAAAGCGAGCGCAGGUGGUUUAUUAAGUCUGGUGUAAAAGGCAGUGGCUCAACCAUUGUACGCAUUGGAAACUGGUAGACUUGAGUGCAGGAGAGGAGAGUGGAAUUCCAUGUGUAGCGGUGAAAUGCGUAGAUAUAUGGAGGAACACCGGUGGCGAAAGCGGCUCUCUGGCCUGUAACUGACACUGAGGCUCGAAAGCGUGGGGAGCAAAUAGG
rnacentral:rRNA from 1 species